rnacentral:rRNA from 1 species
GACGAACGCUGGCGGCGUGCUUAACACAUGCAAGUCGAACGGAAAGGCCCUGCUUGCAGGGUGCUCGAGUGGCGAACGGGUGAGUAACACGUGGGUGAUCUGCCCCUUACUUUGGGAUAAGCCUGGGAAACUGGGUCUAAUACUGGAUAGGAACAUGCUGUAGGUGGUGUGGUGGAUAGAUUAGUAUCGGUAAGGGAUGAGCUCGCGGCCUAUCAGCUUGUUGGUGGGGUAAUGGCCGACCAAGGCGUCGGAGGGUAGCCGGCCUGAGAGGGUGUAAGGCAAGGUUGGGACUGCGAUACGGCGCAGAAUCCGGCGGGAGGCAGCAGUGGGCAAUAGCGUAAAAUAGGAGCAAGGCUGAAGCAGCGACGCCGCGCGGGUGAUGACGGUCUGCGAGUUGUAAACUACUUUCGGGUAUGUCGAUGCGCUUGUGGUGACGGUAGUGGAAGAAGAAGCACCGGCUAACUACGUG